CCGGCUCUGCCCCUCCGCUGCCUUCACCUCCUCGAAGGGGGCGGACACCAGCUCGGCCUCCCAGCUCGGGAGUGCGGAGGGUCGGCGCCCCGGAGAGUCGCGGGCGGACUUGGGCCGCUUGGGGCCCAUGGCGGUGCGGGCGGGCGGCAGGAGGAGGCCCCGCUGGCCCCACGCGUCGCCCUGGCGACCGGUCCCGCGGGGCGGCGCCUGCCGGGCGGGAGAGCCCCGGGGCGCGGCGGGGGCAGCGCUCCUGCCGGGAAAGGCCGGGAGAGCUGGGCCUGUCCUGCCUCGAGAAGAGGGGGCUGAGAGCGGACCUCAUCAAUGUAUAUAAUUAUGUAAAGGGGUGGGGGUGUCGGCAGAAUGGAGCCAGGCUCUUCUCGGUGGUGCCAGACAGCAAAUUUCUGCAGCCUGGCCCUGGUCCUGGCCAGGUUCCUGCUUCCCGUGGUCAGAAGCCUCCCUCUAUCGACCAACUAUCUCACUGUUCAGGAGGAGGGAACUUUGGUUAGAAGCAAGAGCAGGACCUGAUCUGCCAGAUAUCUGGGACUUCUUGCAAAUUGUCUUUGAAUCUGCCAUCAAAAUGAAAAAAACCCCCAACAAUUCUAUCUGCAUGGUUUUGUAGUGUUUCUACAUUGAUUUCUUUUUAUUAAUAAAUGUGUGCUUAUAAUA